GGUCCGCCUUACUUGUCUGAACUUAUCAUGACUUACAAACCAGAGCGCACAUUAAGUUCUCAAGAUGCUGGUCUGCUUAUGAUUCCAAGGAUUAAUAAAAUAACAGUGGGAGGUUGAGCUUUUAGUUACAGGGCCCCUAAACUGUGGAAUGGUCUGCCUGCUACUGUAAGAGAUUCCCCUUCAGUCUCAGCUUUUUAAUCCCGGUUGAAGACUCACUACUUUGGUUUAGCAUAUCCUGUCUAGAGUUGCUGAUUAACUGUACAGACUGCAUCUCUGUUGUUAGCCAUUAGCACUAAAAUAUAAGUAACAUGAUUGUUAUAAUUUGUUACUAACCCUCACCUAUUCUGUUUCUCUUCUCGGUACUCAAAUGUGGCACUUGGUGCCACGGCCCACUUGCCAAUUUAUUUGCCUGCCUAUGGUAUAGUCAUCUCUGAUGGAGGAUCACAGGAAUCAUCGG